UUGAAAUUAAAAAAGGGUCCUUUUGAGGGUGCUCCUGAGCACCCCUUUAUCAGAGGACCCCCAAUUUGCUCCACAGACUGUGCCCCAGGCCCUAGAGCAUGGCCCCAGGCCCCUUCCUACCCCUGGCCCUUGAGCAUGGCCCUGUCUGAUUUCCCCGUGCAGCGCCGAAGGGCCGGGGCGGGCAGGAAAUGCAAGGUCCCCUGUGAGUACUGGCUCCUGCUGGACAGGGCCCCCACUGACUCCAGCCCCCGAGCGCGGCCCUUCCGCUUUCCCCACGCAGGCGCUGACUGGCAGGGCCAGUGGACGGGGCCGUGUGCCCUGGGGCUACACUGAAGGGCCGGGGCAGGAGGGGAAGGAGAGAUGCCCCCGUCGCCCAGAUUGUGAUGGGGAUGGUGCAGACAGGUCUCUGAGAAGUGCUGGUGCCUUUCCUGACCUACUGGAGUCUGAAUGUGGAGAUUUCUCUGCAGUGGAUCGGUACGCAGUACAUUGCUUCUGGAUCCCUCAGCAUGGUGACUGUCAGGACCCCCGUCUCUCACUGGUGAGGCAGGCUGGAGUUUGCGGGGGCUGGUGUGGGGCGGCUGGCCAGCCAGAGAGGGAGCUGGGCAGUGUACAAGAGGAGCUGUUGCUGAGUUUUGCACAGCUGCCUGGCGGUGUUUUUCUGCAAAUUGAUUUAUGGCUGU